UACAGAGGUCUCAAGCGUUGUUCGGAUUCAUUGGGCGUAAAGGGUGCGUAGGCGGCGCGGUAAGUCGGGUGUGAAAUCUUGGAGCUUAACUCCGAAACUGCAUUCGAUACUGCCGUGCUUGAGGACUGGAGAGGAGACUGGAAUUUACGGUGUAGCGGUGAAAUGCGUAGAUAUCGUAAGGAAGACCAGUGGCGAAGGCGGGUCUCUGGACGACACCUGACACUGAGGCACGAAAGCCAGGGGAGCAAACAGG
rnacentral:rRNA from 1 species